rfam:Trichoplax adhaerens isolate Grell Red Sea mitochondrion, complete genome.
GGGGUGUUAGUUAAACUGGUAUAACUAUAGUUUUGCAAGCUAUUAUUAUAGGUUCGAGUCCUGUACACUCCA